rnacentral:rRNA from 1 species
GAUGAACGCUGGCGGCGUGCCUAACACAUGCCAGUCGAGCGAACGGACGAGAAGCUUGCUUCUCUGAUGUUAGCGGCGGACGGGUGAGUAACACGUGGAUAACCUACCUAUAAGACUGGGAUAACUUCGGGAAACCGGGGCUAAUACCGGAUAAUAUUUUGAACCGCAUGGUUCAAAAGUGAAAGACGGUCUUGCUGUCACUUAUAGAUGGAUCCGCGCUGCAUUAGCUAGUUGGUAAGGUAACGGCUUACCAAGGCAACGAUGCAUAGCCGACCUGAGAGGGUGAUCGGCCACACUGGAACUGAGACACGGUCCAGACUCCUACGGGAGGCAGCAGUAGGGAAUCUUCCGCAAUGGGCGAAAGCCUGACGGAGCAACGCCGCGUGAGUGAUGAAGGUCUUCGGAUCGUAAAACUCUGUUAUUAGGGAAGAACAUAUGUGUAAGUAACUGUGCACAUCUUGACGGUACCUAAUCAGAAAGCCACGGCUAACUACGUG